UACGUAGGGGGCAAGCGUUGUCCGGAUUUAUUGGGCGUAAAGAGCGUGUAGGCGGCCAGGUAGGUCUGCUGUGAAAACUCGAGGCUUAACCUCGAGAUGUCGGCGGAAACCAUCUGGCUAGAGUCCGGAAGAGGAGAAUGGAAUUCCCGGUGUAGCGGUGAAAUGCGCAGAUAUCGGGAGGAACACCAAUUGCGAAGGCAGCUCGCUGGGACGUAAACUGACGCUGGAGACGCGAAAGCGUUGGGGAGCA
rnacentral:rRNA from 1 species